rnacentral:snRNA from 1 species
ACCUAGGGCGCGAGCCCGG